AUUGAACGCUGGCGGCAGGCCUAACACAUGCAAGUCGAACGGUAACAGGAAACAGCUUGCUGUUUCGCUGACGAGUGGCGGACGGGUGAGUAAUGUCUGGGAAACUGCCUGAUGGAGGGGGAUAACUACUGGAAACGGUAGCUAAUACCGCAUAACGUCGCAAGACCAAAGAGGGGGACCUUCGGGCCUCUUGCCAUCGGAUGUGCCCAGAUGGGAUUAGCUAGUAGGUGGGGUAACGGCUCACCUAGGCGACGAUCCCUAGCUGGUAUGAGAGGAUGACCAGCCACACUGGAACUGAGACACGGUCCAGACUCCUACGGGAGGCAGCAGUGGGGAAUAUUGCACAAUGGGCGCAAGCCUGAUGCAGCCAUGCCGCGUGUAUGAAGAAGGCCUUCGGGUUGUAAAGUACUUUCAGCGGGGAUGAAGGGAGUAAAGUUAAUACCUUUGCUCAUUGACGUUACCCGCAGAAGAAGCACCGGCUAACUCCGUG
rnacentral:rRNA from 1 species